UUCUGCCUCCCACUGUCAAAACUGAGUUGUGCGGAUCACAUUCUGUGCGGGUCAGGGACUGAACGGCUGGGCAGAAUAUUUAACUUCCUACUUCCCUCUUAUCAUGAGAGUCUGUAACUAGAGGCUUAUCUUUUGGUCAAGUUCACACGGGGUCAUUUUUUUAGGUAGCUACAAAAGGCAUGUGUAUCUUGGGAGUCAGGUGGUGUGGGUUACACCAGGGCUUUAUCACGUCGUAGCUUUUUGUUCGUAAGUAUCUGUCUCUUUUUCUACAAAGUAGCAACAUCGCCACCUGCCACACAGUUGUGAUAAAGUCGAUGUGAGUUAACACCUGUGCGCUCUCCCGUGACCGUGCGUGACACUUUGUAGAGCUUGUAAAUUUCAGGAUCUGCCUCAUCCUUAGAGCAAUUACGUUAACAAAAUAUAUUCUAUGCAGGUUUUUUUAGAAGUAUAAUUUGGUCAAAAAGCCUAAAUGUAAAAUAUGAAAGUCAAAGUGGAACUGAUGGUGUGGACAACUUGGACAGUUUUACAUACAAUUGACCAUGUUCUUGAACUUGAUAUAAUUUUAUGAAACUCAAGAAAGUGAUACUUAAAGGUAUCCCUGAAAGGAUUUAAAAGGUUCUGUUGACAGAGUUUCACAACUUCGAAAGGUUAGUAAGUUCCAGCAAUCUGCUGUACAAGAUAGUAUUGUACACUUAAAAUGUGUGAAGAGAGUGAAUCUCAUGCUAAUGUUCUUACCACAAACAGAAACGCAAAGAGAUACAAGGAAACCUUUGGAGCUGAUGGGUAUGUCUGUUACCUGGAUUGCUGUGGUGGUAGCAGGAGUGUGUACAUACGUCCCAGCACACCAAGUUGUCUGCAUUAAUUAUAUGCAGUUUUUGGUAUAGCAGUCCAACUUCACUAAAGCUUGGGGAAAAAAGGAAAAACAAAAUAAGAAUCAGUUGGUAAAAACAUAUCAACAUAGAUGAAUUCUCAAAGGCACUACUGAUUUUUCUGAAAGAAUAGGAAAAUAUUUAAUAGUACAAAUGAGGAGUAGUUAUUACUCUGAGUUUGUUGUGAUCGACUAUGGGUCAAGAACUACCCAGGUCCUCUGUUCAUUGGCAGUUCUUAUGCAUCAAAAUUUAGAGCCAUGAACUCAGGAGAGACGCAUCUAAUAUAAAGGAUUUAGAAGAUGGUUUGUGGUGAGGGGACAGGAGACAAAGGCCAGUGCUGACUCUCCAAGCUGAGACGUGUCACAGGAGACUCAGCUCCCAUCAACCUGGGAAGACCCAGCAUAAAGAUAAACAGGAAACAGCGGUGCCCCUCCCCGGCUGUGUCUGUGUCUUGGGGAUUGUACAUCCGAAGCCGAGUUGGGGGGUGAGGAAAAAGCGCUACUGAGAAGCUUCCACACACCAGCGUGCACGGGAACGUGAAGCCUGAAUUAAUAACUUCUGACUUGCUCUGACAAAACUCAAGCCAAGGGUAAAGAGAUUCUGAACUGUUGGUGCCCCUGGGCUCCAGGCAGAAGCAGGCACUCACCCUCUCUCGAGAACCUUCAUCCAGGCAUCAAAGAAUUCUCCCAGCUAAAGUCCCAAAGACAAGUUUCACUGGUUAAAGUCAUUAAACGUCCAGGGAAACAAAUCACGAAUGAGAACUGGCAGAAAUAGCAGACAGGAACUGACUUGCAAAGACUUCAGAUACUGGCAUUAUCAGAAGCAGACUAUAAAACAGCUAUGGUUAAGAUGUCCAAAGAAAUAAAAGACAAGCUUUAAAAAUGUUCAGGGCAUAAAAACUUUAAAGACUGUGAAGCCAAUUUUUAAACAUACAGCAAAUAAACUUCUGGUAAGGAAGCAUGUAAUCUAAAUUCAAAGAAACUGAUGGGUUUAAUAGCCCAUCAGAUCUAACUGAAGAGAGACUUGCUGAACCGGAAGAUAUAUCUGAAAAGAAAAUUAUCCAGAAUGUAGUACAGAGAGGUGAAGAGGCAGAAAAUGUAAGAGGUAUGUGGACAUGAAGGGUAGAGUGGAAACGUCUGAAAUCCUUAGGUCAGCUCUCAAGGAGCGGCCAGAAGCAGAGGAGCGAGCGCUGAAGGGGCAGGGCCAGGACCAGUGAAACGCAGCGCUGGAUAGAUGUGGGAGAUCCCACAUCUCGAAACUGAGGAAACCAGAAGAGACCUUCAUUCACACAGCGUAGUCAGCUCUAA